CGGGGUGCAGCAGGCGCGAAAACCUUGCAAUGCGGGAAACCGUGACAAGGGAACUCUGAGUGCCCGUUAAAUCGGGCUGUCCAUCGGUUUAAAUAACCGGUGAAGAAAGGGCCGGGCAAGACCGGUGCCAGCCGCCGCGGUAAUACCGGCGGCUCGAGUGGUGGCCACUAUUACUGGGCUUAAAGCGUUCGUAGCUGGUUUGUUAAGUCUCUGGGGAAAUCUUCCGGCUUAACCGGAAGGCGUCUCAGGGAUACUGGCAAACUAGGGACCGGGAGAGGUGAGAGGUACUCCAGGGGUAGGAGUGAAAUCCUGUAAUCCUUGGGGGACCACCUGUGGCGAAGGCGUCUCACCAGAACGGCUCCGACAGUGAGGGACGAAAGCUGGGGGAGCAAACCGGAUUAGAUACCCGGGUAGUCCCAGCUGUAAACGAUGCGCGUUAGGUGUAUCGGUGACCACGAGUCACCGAGGUGCCGAAGAGAAAUCGUGAAACGUGCCGCCUGGGAAGUACGGUCGCAAGGCUGAAACUUAAAGGAAUUGGCGGGGGAGCACAAG
rnacentral:rRNA from 1 species